GUGCUCACUUUAGUAGCACAUAUACUAAACUUGGGAUGAUACAGAGAAGAUUAGCAUGGCCCCUGCUCAAGGAUGACACACAGUUAAAGUGGUAGUAGAAUGCAUUU